UAAAGAGUUUCGCACGAGGACGGUGAUGAACAACAGGCUGAAUCCGUCUACAACGGAGAAGCUUUUGUCUUCAGGAAGACCUCGCCGUGCUGCGCGUGGCCGUGUACGACGACAGCAAUAAGCUGAUAGGACAGCGCAUUCUCCCGCUGGACGGACUGCAGUCCAACUACAGGCACAUCUCCCUACGAAACGAGUACAACAAACCUCUGUCCCUGGCCACCGUCUUCUGCAACAUCAUCCUCAAAACAUACGUGCCCGAUGGCUUCGGAGCGAUUGCAGAUGCCCUGUCUGAUCCCAAGAAGUUCUUAUCGGUCUGUGAGAAGAGAACCGACCAAAUGAGAGCCAUGGGCAUUGAGAUGGUGAGAGUCUGUAUCAUUAAUGCACACAACCUUG